rnacentral:rRNA from 1 species
GAUGAACGCUGGCGGCGUGCCUAAUACAUGCAAGUCGAGCGAACAGAUGAGGAGCUUGCUCCUCUGACGUUAGCGGCGGACGGGUGAGUAACACGUGGAUAACCUACCUAUAAGACUGGGAUAACUUCGGGAAACCGGAGCUAAUACCGGAUAAUAUAUUGAACCGCAUGGUUCAAUAGUGAAAGACGGUUUUGCUGUCACUUAUAGAUGGAUCCGCGCCGCAUUAGCUAGUUGGUAAGGUAACGGCUUACCAAGGCAACGAUGCGUAGCCGACCUGAGAGGGUGAUCGGCCACGCUGGAACUGAGACACGGUCCAGACUCCUACGGGAGGCAGCAGUAGGGAAUCUUCCGCAAUGGGCGAAAGCCUGACGGAGCAACGCCGCGUGAGUGAUGAAGGUCUUCGGAUCGUAAAACUCUGUUAUUAGGGAAGAACAAAUGUGUAAGUAACUAUGCACGUCUUGACGGUACCGAAGCAGAAAGCCACGGCUAACUACGU